CAUAAUAUCAUUGCUUUUAAACCAUAUUAAAUCAAUUUGAGUUUUAUCAUUUACUAAAUCUCUAAUUUUGCUUCAAACUAUCUUUGAGAUAAGAAAACAUAAGUUAAACCCCACAAGUACACAUACCUCCAAAGUCCAAAAUGACUUGGGAAAAUUAAGCAACAAACCAUAAUAUUCAUACAUUAAUCCAUCAACAUAUUUAAUUUCAUAACAAAAUAUAAAUUGUCCAUCAACAUAUUUAGAAGGAAAGUAUCUUAAAAAGCUACCGAAGAAACAUCAUCAUCCUCAUCGUCCUCAUCGUCGUCAUCGUCCUUUUUGCCCGUGGAAAAGUCGCUAAGGUUGACUAUUUUGAAGGAAAGGGUGUGAGAUAGUGAUAGUAGCAACCUGCCUCGCCUGCUGUUUUUUCUGUCUCACUAAAUAGCUUGUUUCUGCAAUAAAACAAAGCAAACAUAAAAAUAAAAGAGAUUAAAUGAAGAAACUAAGCUUCUUAUCAGGGAUUUAAAUAGCGGACCGUUUUUGGAAUAGCGGCCAUUAUAUAGCGGUAGCGCCGCCGACCGAAACUACUAUUGCUGAAAAUAACGGAGUGAAGCAGAGUCACACCGAUAACGGUGGAUAGUGGCCGCAAUUUAACGGAUAACGGCCAAUUACGGCAAUAACGGGCCGCUAUUCCUGUUAUUUUCCGUUUCCGUAAAUUAAAAAAAAUCAAGAGAUGUAGUGGUGAAUGGUGAUUCUGGUGAAAUACUGAAUAGUGAAUGACUGAAUGUACUUUCUAAUAAAACAAAAGGGAAUAUAUUCCUUACCUGCAAAAUCGACUUUCAAUCAAAACAAAGUAAAAAGUAUAUACAAAAACUCCAAAUAAACAGAAAAGGAACUCAAAACAAAGUUAAAAAAUCAAAACUCACAAGUCAGUAAGUCACAACUCACAUUUCACAAGCAAGCGAAAAGACGAAAUUCUAUUUCUCAUUCAUUCUCCAUAUUUCGGCAAACAACAGAGCCACAGGCAGCAGCAAAGCAAUAGAAAUUCUAUCCUAAUUUCAAGUAAGUAGACUACUAACCAGUAAGUAAAGUAGUAAAGUAAGAAAUUUUGUCUUGGAUUUCUUGCUUGCAUGUCUUGAAUCAGUAGCAUGGAGUGAUUUUUCGAGAUUUUUAUCCCUAGAUCUGUAUUCUACACAAAAAAAGGGGUUUAAAAUGUUUUUGACAAUUUCCGACCACCAUGCACGGCGGCACCGUCGCCAGUGACUGCCACGGUGGCCGAUCGCCGGAUUCUGGGCAAUGGCAUGAGAGAAAAUGGAGAAUGGAGAGAAAAAGGAAAAAAAAUUCUUUGAAUAAGAGCUGAAAUGAAGUUUCUGAAAUUUUUUUUGAUUUAAAUAGGCCUUCAAAACGACGCUGUUUUGGGCAGGCCACUCUGGCAUCAAAACGACGUCGUUUUGGCCUAACCCGCACACUUACCCGACCCGUUUCCUAGGAUCCGCGUGUUUUUGAACGAAAGGGUUAAUUGCGCUUUUAGCCAUUCCUAUUUUUUAUUAUUUACAAUCAAGCUUCUUUCUUUUUUAAUUUUGUCCUAUAAUUUAUUUCGUAUUUCAAUUUGGUCCACCUUGAAGCUGUGCGUUUUGAAGGAUGGGGAUUAUUUCCCAUUUGAUCCCUUUUUGUUAUUUGCGCAUUCAAUUUGGUCCUUUUUCUUUUUAUUUAUUUCGGAUUUGCCGCAAAUUUAUGUUUUAAGUUCGAUUUAGUCCCUUUUUUAUUUUUUCUAUUUUAUUACUAAAUUAAUUAAUUUAAUAUUACUAUUACUAUUAUUAUUUUUCCUUUUUUUAUUUUAUUAUUUAUUUACUUGUUAUUAUUACCAUAUUAUUAAAAUUUAAUUAGUUUUACAUUAUUAUUUCAAUUAUAUUUCUUUUCAUAUUUAUUUACCUAAAUAUUUUAAAUACAUUUAUUUUAUUAUAUCAUUUUAUUUAUCUAUAUAUUAUAUCCUUUCAUAUAAUUUUUAAUUUUAAGAUUUUUAUUACUGUUAUUAUUAUUAUUAAUACCAUUAUUAUUAUUAUUAUUAUCAUUAUUAUUAAUACCAUUAUUAUUAUUAUUAUUACUAUUAUUACUAUUAUUAAAUUGUUUUACACAAUAUUUAUUUAUUUAUUUCUAUAAUAUUAGGUCUUUACUUUAGCUUUAAAUUUUGUUUACUUUUUUUGGUAUUAUAUUGUUGAUAAUAUAAGUAAUGAGUUGCUUAUAUUUCUAAAUAUAAUUUUAUGUUUCUUAUAUAUAAAUAAAAAUAAAGCAUGCCACCACGUGAAGAGUUCCCGACUAAAGGAUUGGAGGGUGCACUAAGUAAUGAUAUAGGUUGGCACUUUGGAACUCCAGUGCCAAAUGCAAGAGGAAAUAUCGUAUGUAAACUUUGUGGUAAAGUUGUGAAAGGAGGAAUAACAUGAUUUAAAGAGCACAUUGCUCAUAAAACCGGCAAUGUUGCACCAUGCCCUAAUGUUACUGGUAUGUGAUACUUUAUUAUUAUUUUUAAAUGUUAUUGUAAAUUUAUCAAUAAAGAUUAUAUAUAAUUGAUAAUAAUAUAAAGUGUGAAUUAUUUUUAUUUUAUUAACAGGUAUCAUUAGAGAAAGUAUGAUGAAUGUACUAAAAGAAAGUAACAUAAAGAAAAUAGACAAAAAGAGGAGAAAAGAUGAAUUCUUAUCUCAAGUAAUAGAAGAGGAGGAUGAGCACGAGGGAUUCAUUGAUGAGGUUUCUGCUAUAAGGCAAGCAACUCGAGAAAGUAUCCAAUCACAACACGAGUUGCAUAGAAGGGAAGAAUUCAGACGAAGUACUGGUGGUUGGGAUAACAUUUAUGAAGAAUGGCGAUCUUCUUAUGGAUCAGCUAGAGAACAUAAUAGAGAAAGAACAAGUAAAUCCAUCCUAGGUGAGUCUGAGUUUACCUUAAGGGGAGCUAUACCUGAAUUGGUUAGAAGCAAAAGUUUAAAGCAACCAAAGGUCAAUGACUCUUUUUUCAAAAGUUUUCGAAGGAAGAUAGGUGAAGCGGUAUUUAAAUUUAUAAUAUAUGAAAGACUUCCUUUUCAAUUAGCAAGCUCUCCAUGGUUGUAUAACUUAAUUCAAGUGUCAACAGAAGUUGGACAAGGUGUAAAGCUCCCAACACCUUAUGAGGUUUCAGAUGUGUAUUUGGAGUCAGAGUAUCAACGAGUUCAUGAUUGGGUAAAUGGACUAAAGACUCAUUGGAAAGAAUUGGGUGCAACUCUAAUGUGUGAUGGUUGGACCAACAGUUUGAAUCAAAUGCACAUCAUUAAUUUCUUUGUUUAUUGCAGUAAAGGAACCAUUUUUUGGAAAUCGGUAGAUGUCUCAAGUGUCCGUAGUAGAGAUGCUGAAUUCUACUACAGUUUGUUAGAUUCAGUUGUAAAAGAAAUUGGAAAAAAUUACAUUGUCCAAAUAGUGACUGAUAAUGAGGCAGCAAUGAAAGCUGCUAGAAAAAAAUUAAUGUUGAAAAGACAACAUCUAUAUUGGACCUCAUGUGCAGCUCACUGUUUAGAUUUAUGCCUUGAAGAUAUUGGGAAAAAGCCCAGUGUAGCAAAAGUGUUAGAUGAGGCAAAGAAAGUGACUUGCUUUACAUAUAAUCACAUUUGGACUGUUGAUUUGAUGAAAAAGUAUACACAAGGGAAACAAAUACUUCGACCUGCUCUUACUCGAUUUGCAACUCAUUUCAUUCAACUUGAAGAGAUAACAAGACAAAAGCAAGGUCUGAGAGAAAUGUUUAAUUCAAAGGUCAGUAUUUUAUAAUUAGUUAAUAUAAUUACUUAAAUAUAGUAACCUUUAGUGAUUUUAUUAGUUCCAAAUAAUUUAAAUUAUAUUAUUUUAAAAAUUUUCUUAUGAAUAUAUAGGAAUUUAAAGAAUCAAAAUGGGGACAACAAAAGUCAGGGCCUGCUUAUGAAGCCAAAAAAAUUAUUUUGGGAAAAGAUUUUUGGAAAAAAGUCAAUGACCUCAUCAAAAUUUACGAGCCCUUAGUAAGAGUAUUGAGACUUGUGGAUAGCGAUGAAAAACCAACGAUGGGCUUUAUUUAUGAGGCUGUUGAUAGAGCUAAACGAGCAAUUCAACAAAAUUGUCGAUAUUUCACAGAGUAUGAAAAGAUUAUUGACAAUAGAUGAAAUUUUAUGCAUUUUGACUUGCAUUCAGCUGGUAAGAUAAAAUGUUUCAUAUAAUUAAGAACUAUUUUUAUAUUUUAUUAUUUUAAGCUUUAGAUUAUUAUUAUUUGAUGAUAUUCUUAUAAAUUAUACUUAGGUUAUUUUCUCAAUCCUCAAUUUCAAUUUGGGGUGGAGCAUUCUGAAAAUGUACUAGAGGUGCUCAUGGGCCGGGCGCCCGGCCCGGCCUGACGGUCCGCCCGAAAUAUGGAAGGGUUUGGGUAAAAAUAUAGGCCCGAAAUAUGGGCUUGGGCAAAAAAACGAAGCCCAUUUAGAAAACGGGCCGGGCCUCGGGCACCACUUUUUUGGCCCGGGCCCGGCCCGAUAUAAUAAAUAUAUUUAUUUUUUAAAUUUUUUUAAUUUUAAAAUAUUUUUAAAAUACUUUUUUUUAUUAUUUUUUAAUUUUAAAAUAUUUUUUAUGGAGCACCUCUAGAAUGUACUAAUAGAAACAUUAGAAGGUACACGAUCAGUAAUUGAAAGAUUAGAACCUUCUAUGGAUACUGAUGUCAGAAUGGUUAAUCAGGUUAGAUUCAAGUACUAUUAUUUGUAACUUAGUUACAUAAUUUGAAAUAGAAUUUUUAUUUUUAUUUUUACUCUAUCUUUUAUUUAUGCAGUUGUUACUAUUUAGAGAUAAACAUGAGACAUUCGGUACUCCACAGGCACAAAGAGCUUGGAAGCAAAUGAAUCCGGGUAAACAGUUAAUUAAAUUAUUUAAUUUAAUUUAUAUUAUUUAAUUAUAUUGUACAUUUUGAAGUUAUUUUAAAAUUUAAAUAAUAUUAUGCAGCUGAGUGGUGGAUAAUAUACGACACAUGUGUUCCCGAAUUAAAAAAAUUAGCAAUUAAAGUGCUUAGUCAAACAACUUCAACAUCAAAUUGCGAACGAAAUUGGAGCACAUUUAGCUAUAUUCACACCAAGGCAAGAAAUAGGUUAAAGUAUAAAAAAACUUGAAAAACUAGUGUUUACCUAUUAUAAUAUGAGGCUUAAGAUGUGGCAUCAAAAAAGAAUGAGCACUGAUGAUAUAAAUGCUAGUUUUAAUCCUAUCAGCCUUGAUCAUAUCUUUGAAGAUGUUGAUCCACUAUCAGAAUGGCUUCAUGAGAAAGAGAAUCCAUUGUUAGAUGGUGAAAAUGCCAGUGUGUUGCUUGUGGAUACCUCUGAUGAUGAAGUGGAUGUUGAUCAAUCUCAACAACAAAUUUUGUCUCAUUCAAGUUCUAGUUCAACUCCAAGUCAGAGUGGCGAUGGACCCGAUGGUGGUGGCUUAAGUCCAAUUGAUGAGGAUGAUGGAUAUAGUGGUGAUAGAGGUGAAAUUAGGUCUUCUAGUAGUAUGGAGGAGAAUAUGGGGUUGGUACCACUGGUGGACAUUUUCGUGACAAAUCAGAGUUUGAUGGAAAUAUGUUUCCUGAACCUAGGAGAGAUAGAAGUGAACCUAGAACUCCAUCAAAGGGAAAAGGCAAGAAGCAUACUUCUAUAGGCUCUUCAUCUGGUAGGAGAUCGAGUUCUAGUAACCUUGGGUAUAGUGAUUCAUCUACUAGCACUCAAGGUUUUUAUCCACCAGAACAACCUUCAUAUUUUCAACCUUCACAUGGUUAUCCACAACCAUAUGGUUAUUAUCCACCAUUUCCUAAUUAUGGUGUGCCAUACCAGCCUCAAAUGUAUCCUCUUCCACCAAUGUAUCACCCACCCCCACCUCACAUGUAUCCUCCUCCUCAAAUAUAUCCUCCAUAUCAAUUAAAUGAAAACCAAGGUGAAAAUGUUACUUUUUUUUCGAUAUAUUUUUGGACAAAGGCCAAGAGAAUCAAGUCAAUAACGCUCCCAAAGUGAAGGUGAAGGAUUUGAUCUUCCUCAUUAUUCGACUAAUUGGUGAAAACUAAAUCGUACCACUAUCAUUAUUUGUAAGGUAUGUUUUUUUUAAAGAAAACUUUUGUUAUUAUUCUUAAUUUUGAUUAUAUUAAAACAUUUAAAAUAAUAUAUAUCUUUACAUAAAUGAAUAGAGUAUAUUUUAUGAAAAGAUAAUUAAGAAUCGAAGCAUGUUAAAUUAUAUAUGAAAGUAGAAUGAGAGUGAGAAUAAGAGGUAGGAAAUAGGAAUAAUUAAUGAAAAUCAAUACAAUUAUCUAUUCCUUUUUUCCUUUUACAGCAUACAAUGUUUAUAUCUUCACCAUCUUCAAAACUGUCAAAAAAUAUUGAAGACAUCUCUCAGGUAUGAAUUUUCAAUUGUUUUAUCUAUAAAAACUUUCAAACUUAUUAAAUAUGAUAAAUUUUUAAUAUUUCCUCUCUUUUUUUUUUACUUUGUUAUUAGUUAAUAUAACAUUCUUAGAAAAUUAGUAAAUAAAUGUAAGAAUAAUUAAUGAUUAUAAAAGUUGUGUUCUCAUAUCAUAUUAAUAAAGGUUCAUAAGUGUUAGAAAACACUCUAAAAAUCAUUAAAAGUGACUUUUUUAUAAUUAUAAUUAUAAUUACUAUGUUUUACAAUAAGUUGUGUGAAUUUUAAAAAACUUCAUGACCGCGAUACCCGCAGUGACCGCAAUAGUGUCCGUUAUGUCCGCGACCGCGAUAAACGCAACGCGACCGAAAACGCGACCGCUACCGCAAUUUAAAUCCCUGCUUCUGAUCUCAAGGUCAAGAGAGAGACUGGUGUUUUUCUCAUACUUGAGAAAAUCAAACUGUAUUAUAAUUUCAUACUUGAUUUCAAUACAAGAAAUUAUACAUGUACAUAUAUACAUAUUCGAAACUAACAUAUACAUAUAUCAAUUCAGACUGGAGCAUGGGGUGUUGGCAAUUGAAAACAAUGGAGCAUCUUAUAUUAAUGUGAAGAGAUGAAUUGAAGACCCUCAAGAAUAAAAUUUUAAGCAAAGUCAGAAUAAUUUUUUAUUAAUAAAUAAUUUUAAGCAAAUUGCAGAGCUCAAGAACCAAAACAUAAAACAUAUGUCAAACCAAAACAGAUCACUAAGAAGACCCUCAAUUUCUUAGACAUGGUCAAAUUAAUACAACUAUUAUAUAAUAUUGUUAUACUUCUUUACAAGAUACCUCUUGCCUGUCUAAUUACAUAAUACAUAUGGAUGUUGUCAUAACAUCCAGCAGUGUUAAAUCAAACAGAAAUUGAAUUUUAAGCACUUCUCUCUCUGUCCUUCAAAGGUACCAACCAAAACCAAAAUUGACCAAGAUGACAUGAGUCAUGAUUUCCAACAUCACUUCAUGUUCUACAUGCCCAUGUUUAUCCUUACAUAAUACUAGACCCACUACAGCAUGUAUAAAUAACCCACUUUAUCAAACUAAUGAAAACAACCGUAAAAGAAAGAAAAAAAAACAUUAUAUUCCAAUUCGUUUGAGAUUUUCCAUUCAUUGUUACUGGUUCGUCAUAUCUUAAACACUGACAAUUUCGAUGGCCUUAAAUUCAUUUUCUCAACCUCAUUUUGUGUUGAUACCAUUUAUGUGCCAGAGACACCUUCAAGCCAUAAAUAUGGCAACAUUAACAGAACACCAUUAACAGCAAAAAUCAAAAUCACAACCAUUAACAGCAUUAACAGCAAAAUCAAAAUCACAACCAACAUCAAAAAGAAAAAAAGGGAGAAGACAUUAAAAAAUUAGGAAACCGUUAACAGGAAAUAUGGUUAACACUUAACAGAUAACUCACCUUUGAAGACGUUGAAGGCUAGAUUCGCUGGAAGCACCGUUAGAGCGGAGGUGGAGUCGUGGAGGACCGGUCACUGGAGGUGGAAUGGUGGUCGGGCGAGGUGGGUUUCCGAUUUGGGGGAAAAAGGGGAGGGAUUGCGUUAGGGAUUUGUCUCUGAAGAUAAAAAAAGGAAGGGAAGGGUGUCCGGGAAAUGGGGAGGGGAAUUGGGAAAUGUUAAAUUAUAAUAAUAAAUUUUAAAAAUAAAAAAAAAUAUUAUUUAGAUCCGGGCCGGGCCGGGCCAGGGCCAAAAAAGUUUUACCCGGGGCCCGGCCCAUUUUUUAUUUCGGGCCUAUUUUUCCCCUCCCAAAUUUCGGGCGGGCCUUUGGGCCGAGCCGGGCUGCC
rnacentral:lncRNA from 1 species